GCAUAAUCCCAGAUGAUGGGGUGUUUCUAAAGGCAGAGACCCGUGUUCAGAUGAAACGUACCCAAGAUCACACAGCAGGAAAUGGCAGACGAGGCUGGGAGAGGAUGCUUGGCUUACCGUGCAUCAUCCGACACGCUAAUGGCAGAGCUAGCAUCGAACCCGGGUCUCUCUGAUCCCAGAGCCUAUGCUCUUCACCACCACUGCCCUCCCCAGGCUCUUGAGUGAGCCAGACAUCCUGGGGCUGGUCGCCCUCUCCUCCUUAUGUUCCUCUCCUGGCCCCACUGGUCUGAGUUCUCUCUAUUUAACCUCCCGUCUGCACACCAUGCCCCAUGGACACCCUGGUUUGGAAAAUCAACACACUAUUGAUGCACCUGCCGUUGGACAGACCUGGUAGGGGACCCAAACUCCACACUCCUUAACUAUGCGACUGUGAACAAGUCACUCUUUCUGAGCCUUGAAUUCCACGUCUCUACAUGCUUUUCAGGGCGGCUCAUUCAUCUGACCAAUGUGUGGGGAAAUAUCUGCGUCUAUCGAGC
rnacentral:lncRNA from 1 species